GGACGAUUAGCUCAGUGGUAGAGCGCUGCAUUCACAUUGCAGAUGUCGCAGGUUCAAAUCCUGCAUCGUCCA
rnacentral:tRNA from 1 species